CGACAUCAGUAAGAAAUUUCGAUCAGUGGCGCAGAUUGAACGCUGGCGGAUCGCUGCACAUGCAGUCGAACAGCGGCCUGGACUUCGGUCUGGUGGCGAGUGGCGAACAGGUGAUAUCGUCGGAACGUGCUGUGCCCGGGGAUAUACGCGAAAGCGCCUUCGCUGCCGCCUUCGAAGAAAGCGGGGGACCUUCGGGCCUCGCACUAUUAAAGAGCGGCCGAUAUCGGAUUAGCUAGUUGGUGGAGUAACGGCUCACCAAGGCGACGAUCCGUAGCUGGUUUGAGAGGACGACCAGCCACCGGGACUGAGGACACGGCCAGACUCCGCAGGAAGCAGCAGUGAAAUUUUGGACAAUGGGGGAAACCUGAUCCAGCCAUCCGCGUGUGCGAUGAGGGCCAACAGGUUGUAAAAGCACUUUUGGCAGAAAGAAACGGCACAGGAUAAUACCCCGUGCAUUAAUACCUGCAGAAUAAGCACCGGCUAACUGCGUACCAGCAGCCGCGAUAUGCAGAUUCACAAGCGUUAAUCGGAAUUACUGGGCGUAGCGUGCGCAGGCGGUUCCCGGAAAGAAAGAUCUUGAAAUCCCAAACUUAACUUUGGAACUGCAUUUAACUUCACCCAAGCUGAUGUCAGAGGAGGUGGAAUUCCGCGUGUAGCAGUGAAAUGCGUAGAUAUGGAGGAACACCGUGGCGGCCGGCCUCUGGGAUAACAUGGGCGCUCUUUUAGCAAUGGGAGCAAACAGGAUUAGAUACUUGCUUACUCUGGGCACAGUCUCGUUCAAUGAUAUCAACUAGCUGUUGAAUGGCCCCCAGACAUGGUAGCUCAACUAACGCGUAAGUUGACCGCCUGGGGAGUACGGUCGCAAGAUUAAAAACUCAAAGGAAUUGACGGGGACCGCACAAGCGGUGGAUGAUGUGGUUAAUUCGAUGCUUGCGAAAAAGAAAACCUUCCUUAACCCAUGUCUGGAAUCCCGAAGAUUUAAGGGUGCUCGCAAGAGAACCGGAACACAGGUGCUGCAUGGCUGUCGCAAUCCGCGUCAAUGAUAGAGAUGUUGGGUUAAGUCCUGGCGAGCGCAACCCUUGUCAUUAGUUGCUGAAGGGCCUCCCUAAUGGGGCUGCCGGUGACAAACCGGAGGAAGGUGGGGAUGACGUCAAGUCCUCAUGGCCCUUAUGGGUAGGGCUUCACGUCUUGCAAUGGUCGGGACAGAGGUCGCCAACCCCGCGAGGAGCCAAUCCCAGAAACCCGAUCGUAGUCCGGAUCGCAGUCUGGCUCGACUGCGUGAAGUCCGGAAUCGCUAGUAAUCGCGGAUCAACAUGUGUCGCGGUGAAUACGUUCCGGGUCUUGUACACACCGCCCGUCACCACCAUAGGAGUGGGUUUUACCAGAAGUAGUUAGCCUAACCGUAAGGAGGCGGUCUACGGUAGGAUUCUUUGGCUAGGAUAAAGUCGUAACAAGGCCAG
rnacentral:rRNA from 1 species